GGUAGUCUAACCGCAAGGAGGACGCUUACCACGGUGUGGCCGAUGACUGGGGUGAAGUCGUAACAAGGUAGCCGUAGGGGAACCUGCGGCUGGAUCACCUCCUUAACGAA
rnacentral:rRNA from 1 species